AAAUGCUAUAUAGGCCAUAACAUAAGCACUCACAGCAUGGCCUGUCAGAUUCCAAUGCAUCUGCAAAUUCUGUU
rnacentral:ribozyme from 1 species